AUUGACGUGUGGGCUCAGAUUAGAGGUGAGGAGAAAGGAACGAGCAGUUAAAUGUCAUUUUUAACAGUUAGAGUGAUAAGUACAGUGGAUAAUUCUGCUCGGUACACACCGCGAUGAGUCCUGAGUUCGUGCACACGCAUAUGUGUGUACUGAUACCACCAGGAUGGCAAAGAUGAUUACUGGAUUUCCUCUGAAACGGAUCGGCUUUUCACAUGCAGGAAUCGCUUCCACCAGCAAAGUUCUGCUGUUGCGCGAUGCGGUGGCUCGCUCCUAGGGUCUCAAAACGACGGGAAGGUGAACCGGCUAUGAAGUGAGGCCAUCUUCGCAGGGGACGAGCGUGGGCUGAGGGACCAGCAUGAGCGUGUGGCCCUGGAAGAUGGAGGUGGAGGGGGUGUAACCAUGCGAGCAGAUGGACUUCUACCCGGGCACAUGCUGCACCUGCAUCUACAAGGCCAAAAACGAACGUGGGGGAAGCCGGGGUCGUCUGGGGGGGGGCGAGGUCACGCCUCCCCGCAGCGCCAGCGGGGUGAUUUGCGCCAAGUUCAGCAGCAGCCUGCCCACCAAGGCCAUCGGGCACAGGGUUCGAGCGGUGCUGUACCCAUUGCGGGCGCGACAUUGUGACAUUGUAGCUGUUGUGUGCAAACAAUAAAUGGUCUGGAACACG